GGGCAAGUGGUGUAAUGGUAACAUUCGGGCAACACCCGCUCUCACGCUCACCGGGCCCGAGUUGUCGGUUCGAUUCCGGCCUUGUCCA